ACUGGGGCGGGGGAGGCCUUCCCGGAUACUAGGGGAUGACAGGAUCGGCGUUAGGCGGGGCUUCUGCGGCCCGCGGCCCGCCGGAAAAGAGGGACUUCCAGACGCAACUUCCGGUUCCGUUGGCGGCAGAUUCCCCCCCCCUACGGUAACGCGGCCGGUAGUUCUGCGAUGGCGUGCACCAGGGAGGUGGUGGGCAUCCGCGCCUCACCCGCUGAGAGCAGGUGAAGAUGGCCACUGGGUGGAGUUCUUGCACCAAAUGUACAGGCACGCCUGCUUGUGUUGGUGCAGAAGAGAGAGAAGGCCUGCCUGUUGCAUGCUCUGCUUCUCGUUUUCUAUAUUGCUUGACACCCACUUGCCCCCCAAAACAGAGCUCUAGACACGACCCUUUGAUUCCAGGCACCACACAAAAACAUAUACAAGAAAUGCUGAGAUGAAACAGCUGUUCGGAAAGUCAAGCUUCUGUACCUUUAACAGCAGAGGGUCUGUUAAGUUGCCUCCAGAGUCAGCAAGCUUUCACUCAUGCUUCCAUUGCUGUAAGGUAGCUUUACUUUGAAUAAAUAAAUAAAUGCAUGCUAGCGA